rnacentral:rRNA from 1 species
AUUGAACGCUGGCGGCAGGCUUCACACAUGCAAGUCGAGCGAGCGGCGGACGGGUGAGUUAUGUCUGGGAAACUGCCUGAUGGAGGGGGAUAACUACUGGACACGGUAGCUAAUACCGCAUACCAUCAGAUGUGCCCAGAUGGGAUUAGCUAGUAGGUGGGGUAAUGGCUCACCUAGGCGACGAUCCCUAGCUGGUCUGAGAGGAUGACCAGCAACACUGGAACUGAGACACGGGCCCGACUACUACGGGAGGAAGCAGUGGGGAAUAUUGCACAAUGGGCGCAAGCCUGAUGCAGCAAUGCCGCGUGUGUGAAGAAGGCCUUCGGGUUGUAAAGCACGUUCAGCGAGGAGGCGUUACUCGCAGAAGAAGCACCGGCUAACUACGUGCCAGCAGCCGCGGUAAUAC